rnacentral:rRNA from 1 species
CCUACGGGAGGCAGCAGUGGGGAAUUUUGGACAAUGGGCGCAAGCCUGAUCCAGCAAUGCCGCGUGCAGGAUGAAGGCCUUCGGGUUGUAAACUGCUUUUGUACGGAACGAAACGGCCCUUUCUAAUACAAGGGGCUAAUGACGGUACCGUAAGAAUAAGCACCGGCUAACUACGUGCCAGCAGCCGCGGUAAUACGUAGGGUGCGAGCGUUAAUCGGAAUUACUGGGCGUAAAGCGUGCGCAGGCGGUUAUAUAAGACAGAUGUGAAAUCCCCGGGCUCAACCUGGGACCUGCAUUUGUGACUGUAUAGCUAGAGUACGGUAGAGGGGGAUGGAAUUCCGCGUGUAGCAGUGAAAUGCGUAGAUAUGCGGAGGAACACCGAUGGCGAAGGCAAUCCCCUGGACCUGUACUGACGCUCAUGCACGAAAGCGUGGGGAGCAAACAGGAUUAGAUACCCUGGUAGUCCACGCCCUAAACGAUGUCAACUGGUUGUUGGGUCUUCACUGACUCAGUAACGAAGCUAACGCGUGAAGUUGACCGCCUGGGGAGUACGGUCGCAAGGUUGAAACUCAAAGGAAUUGACGGCNGAGAGUGCGACGACGACGACGAGGGAGGAGG